rnacentral:misc_RNA from 1 species
GUGGUGAUUGGGUUUUUCUUUUCUGUACAUAUAUGCUGGGACUUGAUUUGAAAGAUUGAUCCAUGCUUGGUUCAGCCGUUCAGCCAAUCUGCCUUUAAAAUAUCUCUAGACAUUAUCUUGCCUGGUUACCAGUAUUUUGUUGCUACAAUCUGUCCUUUAAUAAUUAUCUUGCAUCAUGGUCUAAGUUUUGCUUGAAGUGGAUCAAGACGUGAUUUUACGGAUAAUGCACUAGUAAAGGG